UUGUUGGUAAGGUAAAAGCUUACCAAGGCUUCGAUCAGUAGCUGGUCUGAGAGGACGACCAGCCACACUGGGACUGAGACACGGCCCAGACUCCUACGGGAGGCAGCAGUGGGGAAUUUUGGACAAUGGGGGCAACCCUGAUCCAGCCAUGCCGCGUGAGUGAAGAAGGCCUUCGGGUUGUAAAGCUCUUUCAGCCGGAACGAAACGGUUACGGAUAACACCCGUGACUACUGACGGUACCGGAAGAAGAAGCACCGGCUAACUACGUGCCAGCAGCCGCGGUAAUACGUAGGGUGCGAGCGUUAAUCGGAAUUACUGGGCGUAAAGCGUGCGCAGGUGGUUUUGUAAGUCAGAUGUGAAAGCCCCGGGCUCAACCUGGGAACUGCGUUUGAAACUACAAGACUAGAGUGUGGCAGAGGGGGGUGGAAUUCCGCGUGUAGCAGUGAAAUGCGUAGAGAUGUGGGGGAACACCGAUGGCGAAGGCAGCCCCCUGGGUCAACACUGACGCUCAGGCACGAAAGCAUGGGGAGCAAACAGGAUUAGAUACCCUGGUAGUCCAUGCCCUAAACGAUGUCAACUAGUUGUCGGGCCUUUACGGGCUUGGUAACGUAGCUAACGCGUGAAGUUGACCGCCUGGGGAGUACGAUCGCAAGAUUAAAACUCAAAUGAAUUGACGGGGACCCGCACAAGCGGUGGAUUAUGUGGAUUAAUUCGAUGCAACGCGAAAAACCUUACCUACCCUUGACAUGUAUCGAAGCCCGCAGAAAAGCGGGGGUGCCCGAAAGGGAACGAUAACACAGGUGCUGCAUGGCUGUCGUCAGCUCGUGUCGUGAGAUGUUGGGUUAAGUCCCGCAACGAGCGCAACCCUUGUCAUUAAUUGCCAUCAUUUAGUUGGGCACUUUAAUGAGACUGCCGG
rnacentral:rRNA from 1 species